UAAAUACUCCCUCCAUCCGAAAAUACUUGUCAUCAAAAUGGAUAAAAAGAGAUGUAUCUAAAACUAAAAUACGUUUAGAUACAUUUCCUUUUAUCCAUAUUGAUUGCAAGUAUUUCCGGAUAGAGGGAGUAUUUA
rfam:Triticum aestivum genome assembly, contig: Triticum_aestivum_CS42_TGACv1_scaffold_223719_3B